CGAGGGGUGCAAGCGUUGCUCGGAAUUAUUGGGCGUAAAGGGUAGGUAGGUGGUCUUAUUUGUCAGAGGUGAAAGCCUUGGGCUUAACCCAAGAAGUGCCUCUGAAACGGUAGGACUAGAGUCCUGGAGAGGGUCGUGGAAUUCCCGGUGUAGCGGUGAAAUGCGUAGAGAUCGGGAGGAACACCAGCGGCGAAGGCGGCGGCCUGGACAGGAACUGACACUCAACUACGAAAGCGUGGGGAGCAAACAGGAUUAGAUACCCUGGUAGUCCACGCUGUAAACGAUGGGUACUAGGCUUGGUGGGACUUGACCCCCGCCGAGCCGCAGCUAACGCGAUAAGUACCCCGCCUGGGAAGUACGGUCGCAAGACUA
rnacentral:rRNA from 1 species